AGUCGUAACAAGGUUUCCGUAGGUGAACCUGCGGAAGGAUCAUUAGUGAUUGCCUUCAUUGGCUUAAAACUAUAUCCACAUACACCUGUGAACUGUUCUACUACUUGACGCAAGUCGAGUAUUUUUACAAACAAUGUGUAAUGAACGUCGUUUUAUUAUAACAAAAUAAAACUUUCAACAACGGAUCUCUUGGCUCUCGCAUCGAUGAAGAACGCAGCGAAUUGCGAUAAGUAAUGUGAAUUGCAGAAUUCAGUGAAUCAUCGAAUCUUUGAACGCAGCUUGCGCUCUCUGGUAUUCCGGAGAGCAUGCCUGUUUCAGUGUCAUGAAAUCUCAACCACUAGGGUUUCCUAAUGGAUUGGAUUUGGGCGUUGCGAUCUCUGAUCGCUCGCCUUAAAAGAGUUAGCAAGUUUGACAUUAAUGUCUGGUGUAAUAAGUUUCACUGGGUCCAUUGUGUUGAAGCGUGCUUCUAAUCGUCCGCAAGGACAAUUACUUUGACUCUGGCCUGAAAUCAGGUAGGACUACCCGCUGAACUUAAGCAUAUCAAUAAGCGGAGGAAAAGAAACUAACAAGGAUUCCCCUAGUAACGGCGAGUGAAGCGGGAAGAGCUCAAAUUUGAAAUCUGGCAGUCUUCGAUUGUCCGAGUUGUAAUCUAUAGAGGCGUUUUCCGUGCCGGA
rnacentral:misc_RNA from 1 species